GUACACUCCUACGGGAGGCAGCAGUGGGGAAUAUUGCACAAUGGGCGCAAGCCUGAUGCAGCCAUGCCGCGUGUAUGAAGAAGGCCUUCGGGUUGUAAAGUACUUUCAGCGGGGAGGAAGGCGAUAAGGUUAAUAACCUUGUCGAUUGACGUUACCCGCAGAAGAAGCACCGGCUAACUCCGUGCCAGCAGCCGCGGUAAUACGGAGGGUGCAAGCGUUAAUCGGAAUUACUGGGCGUAAAGCGCACGCAGGCGGUCUGUCAAGUCGGAUGUGAAAUCCCCGGGCUCAACCUGGGAACUGCAUUCGAAACUGGCAGGCUAGAGUCUUGUAGAGGGGGGUAGAAUUCCAGGUGUAGCGGUGAAAUGCGUAGAGAUCUGGAGGAAUACCGGUGGCGAAGGCGGCCCCCUGGACAAAGACUGACGCUCAGGUGCGAAAGCGUGGGGAGCAAACAGGAUUAGAUACCCGUGUAGUCCCAUG
rnacentral:rRNA from 1 species